rnacentral:rRNA from 1 species
AGUGAACGCUGGCGGUAGGCCUAACACAUGCAAGUCGAACGGCAGCACAGUAAGAGCUUGCUCUUACGGGUGGCGAGUGGCGGACGGGUGCGGAAUACAUCGGAAUCUACUUUUUCGUGGGGGAUAACGUAGGGAAACUUACGCUAAUACCGCAUACGACCUACGGGUGAAAUCAGGGGAUCUUCGGACCUUGCGCGAUUGAAUGAGCCGAUGUCGGAUUAGCUAGUUGGCGGGGUAAAGGCCCACCAAGGCGACGAUCCGUAGCUGGUCUGAGAGGAUGAUCAGCCACACUGGAACUGAGACACGGUCCAGACUCCUACGGGAGGCAGCAGUGGGGAAUAUUGGACAAUGGGCGCAAGCCUGAUCCAGCCAUACCGCGUGGGUGAAGAAGGCCUUCGGGUUGUAAAGCACUUUUGUUGGGAAAGAAAAGCAGCAGGUUAAUACCCCGCUGUUCUGACGGUACCAAAAGAAUAAGCACCGGCUAACUUCGUG